rnacentral:misc_RNA from 1 species
CAAUUUUAAGGUAUUAAUCGCAAUAGAGUCUAAGGCUGUUUCCGUGAUGAAUCAAGAGUUCAUGAAACUUGAUCAUUUUAAGGAACAAAUUAUGUUCACUGAGAAGGUAAAAGCAGAUCAGGAAAAGAAGAUGAAUUGCCAUGCAGAGGUCAUAUUCUCAACAUCUCAUCAGAUAGGCUAUAAGAUUUGUUUACCUCUGUCAAGUCUCCAAAAGAAAUUUGGAAUUCGUUAGAAUUCGAAUAUAAUACAGAAAAAAAAGGUAUGGAUAAAUUUCUCAUUAUGAAAUAUUUUGAUUUCUAAAUACUUUAUAAUAUGUCUGAAGAAAUAUAAAGUUAUAUUAUGAUGCUAAAGCU